GCCUCUUCUUUAGAUCAUGCUUCCUGGAGUGGAUCCAUGGGGAGGCUGCUUUCCUAAUGAUUCCGUUUGGAAACAUCGCUUCGUCCAGCCGCAGUGAGGACGGAGAAGCGGACCUGCCUCUGCAAACACUGAUCUUAAUCUUUGCUGGAAAUACUGCAGCCAUGGAAGGCUCGUCCGGUACAGUCGGUGGAUGGAUCCCUUUCUGGCAUUGCUCGGAUGUUGUGCGUUCUGCAGCUAUGUUCGCUUGAUGGAAAUAGUCCAGACAUGCUUUUUCCAGUUAAAAAUAUCCUGGGAAUAAUUGAGCAUUAUUUACCUUAGCCUGUCUUUUGGGCUCAGUUGCGCUUCAUGAUUCAAGCUUUUACCAACACCGAGCUGGAUGAUACUGUGAUUCCCUAUAGUUUUCAAUUGCAGUGCAAGGUCUGCGAAAGAGAAGCAAGCUGAAGCCAAAAUGUUUAAUUUAAAGAGCCUGCUGCUAACCCAUUUUUGGUCGUCAUAUUUCUCUUCUCUAUGUCCACCACCUGUCUUUACUUUAUUUAUGUGGCCCCUGGAACAGCCAAUACAUACUACUUCAUGGUGCAGGCCCAGGGCUUAAUACUGAGGGACAAUGUGAGGACAAUCAGUCAGAUGAUCAGACUGCACACAACCUUCAUAAAGUGUUUCACAUGGUACUGUUUAAGAAUUUUUUACAUAUAUUUUUUAUUAAUAUGCUGCAAAAGGCAACAAAUUGGCUUUCUUUUGGACCAAAUCCCUUUGAAGAUUCAAUUGAAAGUGAAAAUUUAAUAAUGUAAAUAUGCAUGAUUUAAUGUACACUAAUAAAUGUGAAUGUGCUUCUAAUGCUUUAUGAUCAGUGAACGGCUGAACAGUUUUUAUUCAGAAUGGACUUUUUUUUAGACAUAUUCAGUUAUUUAUUUCCUGUUGCAGUAAUCACUACAUCUGCAGUUGUGCUUUUAUUUUAUGCAAUCAGCCUAUCUUUCUACUGUAAUACAUGCACACAUCCAUUUGGCCUUUUGAGGUUAAAUGGAUGUUGAAAUCAAAUGUUUGCAUACAUCAAAUAAAGAGACAAACACACUA